CAGCAGCCGCGGUAAUUCGUAGGGGGCGAGCGUUGUCCGGAAUUAUUGGGCGUAAAGCGCGCGCAGGCGGUCCUUUAAGUCUGAUGUGAAAGCCCACGGCUCAACCGUGGAGGGUCAUUGGAAACUGGGGGACUUGAGUGCAGGAGAGGAGAGCGGAAUUCCACGUGUAGCGGUGAAAUGCGUAGAGAUGUGGAGGAACACCAGUGGCGAAGGCGGCUCUCUGGCCUGUAACUGACGCUGAGGCGCGAAAGCGUGGGCAGCAAACAGGAUUAGAUACCCUGGUAGUCCACGCCGUAAACGAUGAGUGCUAAGUGUUAGAGGGGUCACACCCUUUAGUGCUGUAGCUAACGCGAUAAGCACUCCGCCUGGGGAGUACGGCCGCAAGGCUGAAACUUAAAGGAAUUGGCGGG
rnacentral:rRNA from 1 species